UAAACAUCAUAGUCAGCCCUGGGCCUUAGGAGCAUUAUUCUGAUAGUUACAUGAAAAACGAGAGAGUGGAACCAAGAUCAUUUCUAGGGAUAUUGAAAUAAUCUAGAUGAGAUGGGAUGAAUGUCUAAUCUACGGUGGGAGCAGUUCAAAAAAAUGUUCAAAACAGGCAUGAGACACCUGAAUACCCCAGCUAGGAAUAAUGAAAUAGGACCCCAGUUCUAUUUUGUUGCUUUUUUAGAACUGGUACCAUGAUUAAGAGACUGCUGGGAGCAUUCCUAUUGUGCUGCUAGAGGAGAAAUUCUUGAAGUGGCACAAUAUGGACCAGAGUGAAAACAUUUGCCAAGAAUAUUUUCAUUAAUCAAGAACAAAAAUCAAAGGUUCUGAGACAAUCAGAUACUAUCAUCAUUUCAACAAUAGAUGAUGCCAACUUGCAAUCUGGCAGCAUUAUUCCCAUGACCCACUGGGUAGCUUCUGGGAAAAUCAGAGUCUUUGGGGG
rnacentral:ncRNA from 1 species